AUGCAGCCAAACUAUAUCAGAUAGAUAACUACUAUUAUCACCAUUCUAUUUUUUUCAGAUGAGGAAACGGAGAUUCAGAAAAAUCAGGUCAUUUGUCUGAGGUCCGAGUACUGUGUGAUAGAGCAAAGAUUUGAACCCAGCUGGAAAAAUCUGAAAUCCUCUGUUAGUAAGGUUAGAAUGAGCGGACACCCUGAACUGCGAAGAGCAUAUUGGACUGGAUGUCCAGGGACCUGGGCUCUAUUUCUCACUCUGACAUGUGAUCCUAGACCCAUCACUUUCAUCUUCUAAGUAAGGCUGUGAAGACAUCAGUUCCCAUGAAGCACAAGGUGGCAAACGUUUGGACAAGACUGGUUGUCAGCUACCAAGGGAGGGAGACUGGAAAUGGCUGCUGGAGAGGCAAAAAAAAAUUGUAUCUGAUGCAUCAGCAAUAACAAAAUGUCUUAAUUUGAAAAGCUAUCAGGAGAUGCCUUCAGUGUCAGUGUGUUUAUAAAUACCUGUCAACAUGGUUCUGAUUGUAGCUGGUACAUCUUGUAUCUCAAUCAAUGUUGCCUUGGUAUCAGGCAAUAAUAACAGAAGGGUUUUUUGUUGUUGUUGUUGUUAAUGAAUGUAUUUAGAAAAAUUCCAAUUGUUCAAUCUGUACAUUAUCCAAGUCCCACAUUUCUGUUUCUGAGAGGUGUUGGACUAUUGUUUCACUUUGUUACUUUGCUUAUGUUAGAGCAGAGCUAAUUAAAAUCCUUUUGUAACUUUA